GAUGAACGCUGGCGGCGUGCCUAAUACAUGCAAGUCGAACGAGGUCUUCGGACCGAGUGGCGAACGGGUGAGUAACACGUUGGUACCUACCCCGAAGUGGGGAAUAACUGGCCGAAAGGUCGGCUAAUACCGCAUAAUACCGCAAGGUUAAAGCAGUAAUGCGCUUCGGGAGGGGCCUGCGUCCCAUUAGCUAGUUGGUGAGGUAAUUGCUCACCAAGGCAACGAUGGGUAGCUGGAUCGAGAGGUUGACCAGCCACACUGGGACUGAGAUACGGCCAGACUCCUACGGGAGGCAGCAGUAAGGAUCUUCCACAUGGACGAAGUCUGAUGGAGCAACGCCGCGUGCAGGAUGACGGCCUU
rnacentral:rRNA from 1 species